UACGGAGGGGGCUAGCGUUGUUCGGAAUUACUGGGCGUAAAGCGCACGUAGGCGGCUUUGUAAGUUAGAGGUGAAAGCCCAGGGCUUAACCCUGGAAUUGCCUUUAAGACUGCAUCGCUCGAAUUGUGGAGAGGUGAGUGGAAUUCCGAGUGUAGAGGUGAAAUUCGUAGAUAUUCGGAAGAACACCAGUGGCGAAGGCGACUCACUGGACCUCUUCUGACGCUGAGGCGCGAAAGCCAGGGGAGCAAAGCGGG
rnacentral:rRNA from 1 species